GAUGAACGCUAGCGGCAGGCCUAAUACAUGCAAGUCGAGGGGCAGCGCGGUAGCAAUACUGGCGGCGACCGGCGCACGGGUGCGUAACACGUAUGCAACCUACCUUCAACUGGAGGAUAGCCCGGGGAAACUCGGAUUAAUACUCCAUAACACAGGGAUCCCGCAUGGGAAUAUUGUUAAAGCUACGGCGGUUGAAGAUGGGCAUGCGUUCGAUUAGCUAGUUGGUGUAGGUAACGGCUCACCAAGGCUACGAUCGAUAGGGGUCUGAGAGGAUGAUCCCCCACACUGGUACUGAGAUACGGACCAGACUCCUACGGGAGCAGCAGGUAGGGAAUAUUGGGUACAA
rnacentral:rRNA from 1 species